rnacentral:rRNA from 1 species
GACGAAGGGGGCAAGCGUUGUUCGGAAUUACUGGGCGUAAAGCGAGUGUAGGUGGUUGUCAUAGUCAGGCGUGAAAUCCCGAGGCUCAACCUCGGAACUGCCUUUGAUACUGGGGAUCUUGAGUUCGGGAGAGGUGAGUGGAACUGCGAGUGUAGAGGUGAAAUUCGUAGAUAUUCGCAAGAACACCAGUGGCGAAGGCGGCUCACUGGCCCGAUACUGACGCUGAGGCACGAAAGCGUGAGGAGCAAACGGG